rnacentral:tRNA from 1 species
GGUGCUGUGGCUUAGUUGGUUAAGGGUUUUUCCUCAGUCUAGUAAACAGGAGAUCCUGGGUUCGAAUCCCAGCAGUGCCU